GCUGGAUCUCCUCAAAAGGCAAGCCCCGAAGAUAGGGAUGCCAACUGAGCUAGCAGUUGGCGAAUGAAAGUAACAUAGCCAUAUUAUAAACCUUGUCAAACAACAAGAACAGACCUAAAAAACUAAUCUGAUUCAAGAAAUCACAGCCCUAAGCAAUAAAUGUAUACCAAGACAAAUUCUGGAGUCUACCACAAAUAAAGCAAAAUAUACUUACCAUACUUCAAGAAAAACUAGGAUCGGACUGUUUUUCAACCUUAGCAUUCUGUUCCACCUAUUAGAUAUGCUUGCUAAAGGGACAUCAAUGGAUAGGAUACAUCAAGGACGCUUUCCCCCCACAAAAUCACAAAUCUAGCAGCUAUAAGAUAAGAUAACCAGGAGUUAUGGUUGUUCAUUUGAAGGCUAUCACAGGAAUCGGUAAAGAUGCUGUAAUCUUCACCCAAAAGAUCGAGUCAAUAUCAAACUUUUGCUGCCGCAUAGGGUCCGAAAAUAGCUCAGAAGAUAUCUAGACAAUUAAGACCACAAAGAGAAGAAUAAACUUGUUAUAAGCUUGGUAAAGUUCUAGGAUGAUGCAGUUUUGAAGCUCCAAGCAACAAAUACUGAUGAAGUAGACUGCCUAUGAACAAAGAGUGUAUACUGUAUAAUCAACAUAAAAGUUGUGGUUAAAAAAGGAAUAGUUGGCAAAGAGAGUGACCAUCCAUAAUCACCUAAACUACAAAGGCUGACCGACAACAGAAAAUCAAGCAAGUACAUUAUCAUGUGCAACUUAGAUUCAGACUGCAAUGCAAGUGUGUAUUAUUCAUGUAAAUAAAACAAAGAAACUUGGUCUCUAACUAGGAGGAACCAAGCAACUUCAUCUCAUCUAAAGGGAACUAGAAAGAGUAUGGCUGUCCAACCAUGUACAGGUCAUGGAAUCAUCUGCGCAUGUUCAACGGAAAUGUUUAGAUCUAGUAGGGAGCACAAAUACGAAGGUACAAAUACGAAGGUGCAAGGAGACAACAUUGUUAAAAAGAAAAAAGAAAAAAGAAACAAGAAAAGAAUGGAUUCCGAGAAUAAAGAACACAAAGCUACAUCAGCUAAUGGCUAGACACAAGUUAAUUACUGGAUAAAAAUAAAUGGAGCCCUUUUGGAACUCAAAAAAGGAAUCGUGUUUAACCUAUGAGAAGUGAGUUCUACGAAACCAAAACAGACUAUUUACCUAGAAUACACAAUAUUUGGCUUUCUAACAAGUCAAUCUCAGUUCCAAAAAUAAAUCACUGAGUCAACCAGCAUAUCUUAAUUGUUGGUCCAUUUCAAAUCCAGAAGUUAUGACUACAUCCUACAACAUAAUAAAAAGUACAACAAUCAUUCACCACUUAAUAGAGUAUAAUCAUUCCUAGAUGUCAUAAAUCUUAACUUUAUGAUACAUGCUACAUUCAAGGAAAAAAAAAGGCAUCCCUGAGGUUUCCGCUUGGGGUGGCAAUUUUAACUGACCCAUCAAGUAACCGACCCAACCUGACUUGAAUGAGCCAGGUUUUACC
rnacentral:lncRNA from 1 species